CCUCAGCAGAACAGGGUCAGUGCUGUAAAGCUCGGGUUUGGGGCGUCAGGGCGACCUGGAGGAUGACAGAGGGCCCUGCUAGUUGGCUGUGACUGCCCAGCACAGCGGCAGCUAAGCCCCAUCCCUGAAUUGAGGCGAAGAAUUCCCAUCUGGGGGCCCAAAGGGAAAUAGGAAAGUUGACUCGUCAGAGGAGACCUAGCUGCCAUUAUUUGCCUUCCAGUCGCUAUGUUCAUUGGUCAGCUGACAUCUUGACCAUGACAUUCUGAAAGGCUGAAUAGUUCCGGGGACCCUGUUGACUGGCCUGCAGGUCCGGCACUCUGGCACCCAACAUAGUGCCCCCAUGGAUCCAUCAACGGGGAAGGAGGCCGUAGGGAAAAAAAAAAGGAAGAGCUCUUCAUGUGCAGCUCCUGGAGCGGAUUAAUUCAAGGCAUGUUUGACCCGCCAGUGCUAGGCCAGAGGAAAAUCUCCAUGGCAACAAUGUCUCAGAAGGUGAAACCCCAUGGGACAAGAAUUUAUCCAGCCUUUUUUAAGGCUCAAGGGAUCUCUCAAGAUGCGAGGGCUGGGUUAAUAAAAAGAGAUCUUAGGUACUUCUUGAGAAGUACUUAGGGUC